UCGGGCGUGGUGUACGGCACACCGCGAGUUGACGUUCCGAGCUUCAACAAAAUCACAUCUCGCAGUCCGGGGUUCGAGUCCCCGCGUCCGAA